UGUAACUACCACGAAAUUGGGGAGAAAAAAGGGACUAAUGAAUGGAAGAAAACAAGAGGCCUCCGGAACGGAAGGAAACAAGAGGCCUCCGGAACGGAAGGAAACAAGAGGCCUGCGGAACGGAAGGAAACAAGAGGCCUGCGGAACGGAAGGAAACAAGAGGCCUACGGAACGGAAGGAAACAAGAGACCUCCAGAACGGAAGGAAACAAGAGGCCUCCGGAACAGAAGGAAACAAGAGGCCUCCGGAACAGAAGGAAACAAGAGGCCUCCGGAACGGAAGGAAACAAGAGGCCUCCGGAACGGGAGGAAACAAGAGGCCUCCGGAACGGGAGGAAACAAGAGGCCUCCGGAACGGGAGGAAACAAGAGGCCUCCGGAACGGGAGGAAACAAGAGGCCUCCGGAACGGGAGGAAACAAGAGGCCUCCGGAACGGAAGGAAACAAGAGGCCUCUGGAAUGGGAGGAACUACAUGACACAGCCUUCCUUCAGUCCCUCGUGAUAACAUGCUGAGCUUUUACCAUUCAAUCAUGAUUCAAUGUAAUAAAAACUAUCAUUUUAA